ACCUGGGUGGCUCAGUGGGUUAAGCAUCUGACUUCGGCUCAGGUCAUGAUCUCGUGACUCGUGAGUUCAAGCCCCACAACAGGUU
rnacentral:tRNA from 1 species